UAGGGAAUCUUGCGCAAUGGGCGAAAGCCUGACGCAGCAACUCCGCGUGCGGGAAGAAGGCCUUCGGGUUGUAAACCGCUUUUGGCAGGAACGAAAAUGACGGUACCUGCAGAAUAAGGUGCGGCCAACUACGUGCCAGCAGCCGCGGUGACACGUAGGCACCAAGCGUUGUCCGGAUUUAUUGGGCGUAAAGAGCUCGUAGGCGGUUCAGUUAGUCGGGUGUGAAAACUCAGGGCUUAACCCUGAGACGCCACUCGAUACUGCUGGGCUAGAAUUCGGUAGGGGAGUGGGGAAUUCCUGGUGUAGCGGUGAAAUGCGCAGAUAUCAGGAGGAACACCGGUGGCGAAGGCGCCACUCUGGGCCGACAUUGACGCUGAGGAGCGAAAGCGUGGGUAGCAAACAGG
rnacentral:rRNA from 1 species